rnacentral:rRNA from 1 species
CCUGAAACCGUGUACGUACAAGCAGUGGGAGCACGCUUAGGCGUGUGACUGCGUACCUUUUGUAUAAUGGGUCAGCGACUUAUAUUCUGUAGCAAGGUUAACCGAAUAGGGGAGCCGAAGGGAAACCGAGUCUUAACUGGGCGUUAAGUUGCAGGGUAUAGACCCGAAACCCGGUGAUCUAGCCAUGGGCAGGUUGAAGGUUGGGUAACACUAACUGGAGGACCGAACCGACUAAUGUUGAAAAAUUAGCGGAUGACUUGUGGCUGGGGGUGAAAGGCCAAUCAAACCGGGAGAUAGCUGGUUCUCCCCGAAAGCUAUUUAGGUAGCGCCUCGUGAAUUCAUCUCCGGGGGUAGAGCACUGUUUCGGCAAGGGGGUCAUCCCGACUUACCAACCCGAUGCAAACUGCGAAUACCGGAGAAUGUUAUCACGGGAGACACACGGCGGGUGCUAACGUCCGUCGUGAAGAGGGAAACAACCCAGACCGCCAGCUAAGGUCCCAAAGUCAUGGUUAAGUGGGAAACGAUGUGGGAAGGCCCAGACAGCCAGGAUGUUGGCUUAGAAGCAGCCAUCAUUUAAAGAAAGCGUAAUAGCUCACUGGUCGAGUCGGCCUGCGCGGAAGAUGUAACGGGGCUAAACCAUGCACCGAAGCUGCGGCAGCGACGCUUAUGCGUUGUUGGGUAGGGGAGCGUUCUGUAAGCCUGCGAAGGUGUGCUGUGAGGCAUGCUGGAGGUAUCAGAAGUGCGAAUGCUGACAUAAGUAACGAUAAAGCGGGUGAAAAGCCCGCUCGCCGGAAGACCAAGGGUUCCUGUCCAACGUUAAUCGGGGCAGGGUGAGUCGACCCCUAAGGCGAGGCCGAAAGGCGUAGUCGAUGGGAAACAGGUUAAUAUUCCUGUACUUGGUGUUACUGCGAAGGGGGGACGGAGAAGGCUAUGUUGGCCGGGCGACGGUUGUCCCGGUUUAAGCGUGUAGGCUGGUUUUCCAGGCAAAUCCGGAAAAUCAAGGCUGAGGCGUGAUGACGAGGCACUACGGUGCUGAAGCAACAAAUGCCCUGCUUCCAGGAAAAGCCUCUAAGCAUCAGGUAACAUCAAAUCGUACCCCAAACCGACACAGGUGGUCAGGUAGAGAAUACCAAGGCGCUUGAGAGAACUCGGGUGAAGGAACUAGGCAAAAUGGUGCCGUAACUUCGGGAGAA